rnacentral:rRNA from 1 species
UCACCCUAGAGGGCAACACCUCUCCCUACCUGGAUCCACUCAUGCUCUACAACGAGAUACGACUGAGCGUGAAGCAAACCACUCCACUGUUCGGCGACCUUAAAGACUCCGGUCAUGAGGAUGGCUCAAGUUUCCUCUUGUUCUUGAGGAACGAUGUCAGCCAGCAGAACGCUCCCAAGAUCGCUUCAACCGAAGACGAGCUUUCCACUAGGGUGAAGAUAUCGAAGGUUUACGGGACGGCCACAGUGGAGACCGAUAGCGCACAAGUA